rnacentral:rRNA from 1 species
GUGGGGAAUAUUGCGCAAUGGGGGAAACCCUGACGCAGCGACGCCGUGUGAGGGAAGAAGGCUUUCGGGUCGUAAACCUCUGUCAGAAAGGAAGAACCUCCCAAGUCCGAAUAGGGCUUGGGACUGACGGUACUUUCAAAGGAAGCACCGGCUAACUCCGUGCCAGCAGCCGCGGUAAUACGGAGGGUGCAAGCGUUAAUCGGAAUCACUGGGCGUAAAGCGCGCGUAGGCCGCGUUGUAAGUCGGACGUGAAAGCCCUCGGCUCAACCGGGGAACUGCGUUCGAUACUGCGAGGCUUGAGUCCUGGAGAGGGUGGUGGAAUUCCGGGUGUAGGAGUGAAAUCCGUAGAUAUCCGGAGGAACACCGGUGGCGAAGGCGGCCACCUGGACAGGUACUGACGCUGAGGCGCGAAAGCGUGGGGAGCAAACAGGAUUAGAUACCCUAGUAGUCC